GACGAACGCUGGCGGCGUGCUUAACACAUGCAAGUCGAACGGAAAGGCCUGCUUUCCCUUGUGGAUUGCGGGUACUCGAGUGGCGAACGGGUGAGUAACACGUGAGUGAUCUGCCCCCAACUUGGGUAUAAGCCUGGGAAACUGGGUCUAAUUCCCGAUAGGACUGCAGGGUGGUGCCUGUGGUGGAAAACGAUUUUCUAGUGGUUGGGGAUGAGCUCGCGGCCUAUCAGCUUGUUGGUGGGGUAAUGGCCUACCAAGGCGGCGCCGGGUAGCCGGCCUGGGACGGGGCAGGCAACAUUGGGAAUGCGCUCCCGCCAAGAGGCAUAAGGCAGGCAGCAGUAGGGAAAACGGGAACAUGGGGGCAAGAGUGAGGCAGCGACGCCGCGUGGGGGAUGGAGGCCUUCGGGUUGUGAACUCCUUUCGACCGAGAGGAAGCCGCCUGGUUGGAAGGGUGGUGACGGUAGUGGUAGAAGAAGCACCGGCUAACUACGUG
rnacentral:rRNA from 1 species